ACAGCGGCAAUCUUAAUACAGCUAAUGGCCAAAGAAGUAUGUUUUUCAUACUCAGUGUAUGGAAUGAAACAAAAACGUCCUGCAAGGUCGUUAUAGAGUUGCGUUUAGUCGUUUAUCGUUGUAUUCGUUCAUUUCGAAAUCGCUACUGACAAAAG
rnacentral:lncRNA from 1 species